CGCUCCAUCUUUCGAGGAAAUAGUUGCGCUUUUCGUUGGUCCGUAACUUAAAUUCAUAGAGGAAGCCGGUACUGCGCCAAAACUGUUCCCUGAAUCGUUUAAAUUACUCCAAAAUCUUCUUCCUCCACCACUUCUAGUGUCUAUGUUUGCUUUUCGAUCGCCGUAAGUAAGUGACCGACCACUGUGAAGUUGACUAUUUCCAACCGCCGAUAAAUCUUCCACAAAGUAUGAAGAUUCAAUUGGAUUUUGGAUUAUAGAGCUCAUUCAAGUAAAUACACGCAAACUGUUUUCACCUGAACCCUAUUACUCUCUAAAGUUCGAUAAGCAGCGUUUGCCGUUUUUGAAAAAUUCCCCCUUUUAUUCCGAACAACCUCAAAUUUAUGUUACAAUACCUCUUGAGCUAUUCGAAUAUGAACGUUUUUCGAGUUUCCUUUAAAUUCUCAAAAAACCCCAAUUUUUCACUCAAUCCGCUCUCAAAUUUUCAAUCUUCGAGUUCAAGGAAGAGCAAAACAACUUAGUGAGUGAAUUCACCUUGCGUACUACGGUAUACUGAGUGACAUCAUCAAUGCGGAUAACCGCAUUAAAUAUCGAACGGUGUUGAUCAUGCUUACCUCUUGUUAAUCCGCAAAAAGCUAUACUAUGCUAUUUAACACUAUUGAGCUUAACCCAUUUUACCUUAAAACUAUCGUUAAAAAAGUUAGGCAAGUCAUGUAAAAUUAAAGAUAUGCAAAUUGAUUUAAUGCAAUGCAUCAAACUCUUCAAUAAAAAUUUACAGAGCUUUAGGUAAACUAAAGUAAAUCCAUCAACACUGUGAAGUGUGAUGGAUAUGUGAAAAAACAACGGUAACAAGGCAACGUAGUAAAUAAAGAUUUAUUCAAUCAAUCAAACUAUCAUUUCAGCAGGGGAGAGAUAUUUAAAAAAAAAAAUAAAAAAAAACAUUUUCCCAUGCUGUACAACUCAUACCAGUGCUUUGUUCGCACUCACAUUAAUGGGUUGAUGAUUCACUCCUGUGCAGGCUUUCGACAGAGUAUGUAAAAACCCGUUGCUUAAAAUCAAUGGCAUAAGAUUUAUUCC